AUGUACACUCCGUUUCCAUUUGCUUCUAGAAACCACUAGCUUUCUCGCCUAAAAACACGAACCUAGCUCGAGUUCUCUCCUUGGUUUUUUCUUCUAUGUGUUAUCUGUGUUUGUUCUCACUUUUCGACAAUGUUUCUUCUCUUCUCCACUUUUUCCCUUCAUUAUGUUUUCUCUGAACCAAAGAAUGAUGGAAGGGCAAUGAACUCAAAUCAAUUCAAAUCAAUCUGACGCAUUGCAAUGCAAUCAAAGAUCAGUGCCCUCUUCAAACCCCCCUUCCUCCUCCUCCUCUUUUUCACCCAAACCAGCAGCUUCACCUCCUAUUGUUACUGAUGGAAACAACGAUGAAUUGACCGUCUGGAAAAGACGCAGCACCAAUACUAUAACACCAAUAAGCGAAGAGCUCCAGACCCGCAAAGUGGAAGGGACGAAAGUUCAAUUCACCAAUUGCUGGUGAAACCCUUUUCGGACGAUAAUUCUGGGAAGCCAGAAUGGACCACAUUGGGAACAACAGUGAUCAAGAACAAGAAGAGAUGCUAUGCUCAAUUCUAUUUAGACUUUGGUCAGUUUGAUUUCAAUGUCACGUUUAGAAUGAUUUUGAGAAUAUUUGACUCAUUUUGUGAUUUAAUCAUGUAUGAUAGUCGAAUUCUUAUUUCUU
rnacentral:sRNA from 1 species